GAGUUUGAUCCUGGCUCAGAAUCAACGCUGGCGGCGUGCCUAACACAUGCAAGUCGAACGAGAAAGUGGAGCAAUCCAUGAGUAAAGUGGCGACCGGGUGAGUAACACGUGACUAACCUACCUUCGAGUGGGGGAUAACCUCGGGAAACCGGGGCUAAUACCGCAUAAUAUCUUCGGGAUGAAAAGCCGAAGAUCAAAGGAGCAAUUCGCUGGAAGAGGGAGCUGCGGCUGAUUAGCUAGUUGGCGGGGUAAUGGCCCACCAAGGCUUUGAUCGGUAGCCGGCCUGAGAGGGCGCACGGCCACACUGGAACUGAAACACGGUCCAGACUCCUACGGGAGGCAGCAGUGGGGAAUUUUGCGCAAUGGGGGAAACCCUGACGCAGCAACGCCGCGUGGAGGAUGAAGUCCCUUGGGACGUAAACUCCUUUCGACCCGGACGAUAAUGACGGUACGGGUGGAAGAAGCCCCGGCUAACUUCGUGCCAGCAGCCGCGGUAAUACGAAGGGGGCUAGCGUUGCUCGGAAUUACUGGGCGUAAAGCGCACGUAGGCGGCUUCUUAAGUCGGUGGUGAAAUCCUGGAGCUCAACUCCAGAACUGCCUUCGAUACUGGGAAGCUCGAGUCCGGGAGAGGUGAGUGGAACUGCGAGUGUAGAGGUGAAAUUCGUAGAUAUUCGCAAGAACACCAGUGGCGAAGGCGGCUCACUGGCCCGGUACUGACGCUGAGGUGCGAAAGCGUGGGGAGCAAACAGGAUUAGAUACCCCGGUAGUCCACGCCGUAAACGAUGGGCACUUGGUGUCGCGGGUAUCGACCCCUGCGGUGCCGAAGCUAACGCAUUAAGUGCCCCGCCUGGGGAGUGCGGUCACAAGGCUGAAACUCAAAGGAAUUGACGGGGGCCCGCACAAGCGGUGGAGCAUGUGGUUCAAUUCGAAGCAACGCGAAGAACCUUACCUGGGUUUGAAGAUCAGUUGACCGGGGGCGAAAUCUCCCUUUCCCGCAAGGGACAGCUGGUUAGGUGCUGCAUGGCUGUCGUCGGCUCGUGUCGUGAGAUGUUGGGUUAAGUCCCGCAACGAGCGCAACCCCUGCUGCUAGUUGCCAACGGUUCGGCCGGGCACUCUAGUGGGACUGCCGGUGAUAAACCGGAGGAAGGUGGGGAUGACGUCAAGUCCUCAUGGCCUUUAUGGGCUGGGCUACACACGUGCUACAAUGGCGGUGACAGAGGGAGGCUAAGGGGCGACCCUGCGCCAAUCUCGAAAAGCCGUCUCAGUUCGGAUUGUUCUCUGCAACUCGAGAGCAUGAAGCUGGAAUCGCUAGUAAUCGCGGAUCAGCACGCCGCGGUGAAUACGUUCCCGGGCCUUGCACACAC
rnacentral:rRNA from 1 species